UCCUUUUUUGUUUAGUUCUUUUUCUUUUUCCGCUUUCGUCUUUCCCGGAGUUCUUUUCAUUUCUUUUUUUAUUUUUUCCCCCUCGAAUCGUUUUCUCUACGGUCCUGGCGGAUUGUCAGUUUUGUUGGCGUCCGCCAUUAAAACUGUUUCCCGGAGAUUUGAAAAAAGAUCCUAAUCUGAAGAGAGCCGAUUUUGACAAAAUACUAUCCGAAUUAGAUGAACCAAUAUGCCCUUACUGCAAACGGAUAUUCUCCAGCCGUGGUAAUUUGAGGAGACACAUGGAAAUUCACAUCAUGAGCGAUCGUAAAAGAUUUGAAUGUGAUAUAUGCUUAAAGAAAUACAAGCGUAAAGAUUAUCUGAAAGAACAUAAAAUGACUGUA